rnacentral:rRNA from 1 species
GUAUACAGUCAUACUAUCCAGAAUGUUCCUUUCUCAUCUGAUCUUGGAAGCUAAGCAGGGUCUGGCCUGGUUGGUAUUUGGAUGGAAGACAUAUAGGGUUCCUUUAUUUA